rnacentral:rRNA from 1 species
UAGGGAAUCUUCCGCAAUGGACGCAAGUCUGACGGAGCAACGCCGCGUGAGUGAAGAAGGAUUUCGGUUCGUAAAACUCUGUUGUUAGAGAAGAACAGCGCAUAGAGUAACUGUUAUGCGUGUGACGGUAUCUAACCAGAAAGCCACGGCUAACUACGUGCCAGCAGCCGCGGUAAUACGUAGGUGGCAAGCGUUGUCCGGAUUUAUGGGGCGUAAAGCGAGCGCAGGCGGUCAAUUAAGUCUGAUGUGAAAGCCCCCGGCUCAACCGGGGAGGGUCAUUGGAAACUGUUUGACUUGAGUGCAGAAGAGGAGAGUGGAAUUCCAUGUGUAGCGGUGAAAUGCGUAGAUAUAUGGAGGAACACCAGUGGCGAAGGCGACUCUCUGGUCUGUAACUGACGCUGAGGCUCGAAAGCGUGGGUAGCAAACAGG